rnacentral:rRNA from 1 species
ACUGCUCAGUAACACGUGGACAACCUACCCUUAGGUCGGGGAUAAACCCGGGAAACUGGGUAUAAUACCCGAUAGAUCUCGACUGCUGGAAUGCAUCGAGAUCGAAAGCUCCGGCGCCUAAGGAUGGGUCUGCGGCCUAUCAGGUAGUAGUGGGUGUAGCGUACCUACUAGCCUACGACGGGUACGGGUUGUGAGAGCAAGAGCCCGGAGAUGGAUUCUGAGACACGAAUCCAGGCCCUACGGGGUGCAGCAGGCGCGAAAACUUUACAAUGCUGGAAACAGCGAUAAGGGGACCUCGAGUGCCAGGUUACAAAUCUGGCUGUCGUGAUGCCUAAAAAGCAUUGCAUAGCAAGGGCCGGGCAAGACCGGUGCCAGCCGCCGCGGUAACACCGGCGGCUCGAGUGGUAACCGUUAUUAUUGGGUCUAAAGGGUCUGUAGCCGGCCGGAUAAGUCUCUUGGGAAAUCCAGCAGCUCAACUGUUGGGCUUUCAGGAGAUACUGUCUGGCUCGAGGCCGGGAGAGGUGAGAGGUACUUCAGGGGUAGGGGUGAAAUCUUGUAAUCCUUGAAGGACCACCAGUGGCGAAGGCGUCUCACCAGAACGGACCUGACGGCAAGGGACGAAAGCUAGGGGCACGAACCGGAUUAGAUACCCGGGUAGUCCUAGCCGUAAACGAUACUCGCUAGGUGUCGGCCACGGUGCGACCGUUGUCGGUGCCGUAGGGAAGCCGUGAAGCGAGCCACCUGGGAAGUACGGCCGCAAGGCUGAAACUUAAAGGAAUUGGCGGGGGAGCA